GAUGAACGCUGGCGGCGUGCCUAAUACAUGCAAGUCGAGCGAACGGACGAGAAGCUUGCUUCUCUGAUGUUAGCGGCGGACGGGUGAGUAACACGUGGAUAACCUACCUAUAAGACUGGGAUAACUUCGGGAAACCGGAGCUAAUACCGGAUAAUAUUUUGAACCGCAUGGUUCAAAAGUGAAAGACGGUCUUGCUGUCACUUAUAGAUGGAUCUGCGCUGCAUUAGCUAGUUGGUAAGGUAACGGCUUACCAAGGCAACGAUGCAUAGCCGACCUGAGAGGGUGAUCGGCCACACUGGAACUGAGACACGGUCCAGACUCCUACGGGAGGCAGCAGUAGGGAAUCUUCCGCAAUGGGCGAAAGCCUGACGGAGCAACGCCGCGUGAGUGAUGAAGGUCUUCGGAUCGUAAAACUCUGUUAUUAGGGAAGAACAUAUGUGUAAGUAACUGCGCACAUCUUGACGGUACCUAAUCAGAAAGCCACGGCUAACUACGUG
rnacentral:rRNA from 1 species